rnacentral:rRNA from 1 species
UACUAUAUGAAUAAGCGCCGGCUAACUCCGUGCCAGCAGCCGCGGUAAUACGGAGGGCGCAAGCGUUACUCGGAAUCACUGGGCGUAAAGAGCGUGUAGGCGGGUUAAUAAGUUUGAAGUGAAAUCCUAUGGCUCAACCAUAGAACUGCUUUGAAAACUGUUAACCUAGAAUAUGGGAGAGGUAGAUGGAAUUUCUGGUGUAGGGGUAAAAUCCGUAGAGAUCAGAAGGAAUACCGAUUGCGAAGGCGAUCUACUGGAACAUUAUUGACGCUGAGACGCGAAAGCGUGGGGAGCAAACAGGAUUAGAUACCCUGGUAGUCCACGCCCUAAACGAUGUACACUAGUUGUUGUGAGGCUAGACCUUGCAGUAAUGCAGUAAACACAUUAAGU